UACGUAGGGGGCAAGCGUUGUCCGGAAUUAUUGGGCGUAAAGGGCUCGUAGGCGGUCUGUUGCGUCAGGAGUGAAAACUCGGGGCUUAACCCCGAGCCUGCUUCUGAUACGGGCAGACUAGAGGUAUGCAGGGGAGAACGGAAUUCCUGGUGUAGAGGUGAAAUUCGUAGAUAUUGGGAAGAACACCAGUGGCGAAGGCGGCUCACUGGCCCGUAACUGACGCUGAGGUGCGAAAGCGUGGGGAGCAAACAGG
rnacentral:rRNA from 1 species